GAGGGCAGCCGGCGGCGGGGGCGGAGGCGGCCGCAAGCGCCCUGCCCGGCGCCGCCUCCCUCAGCGCGCUUGCCCGGCGGACCGGCAGGCGGCGGACCGCAGCCUCAGACUGCCGUGAAAGGCCCUGCCUCGUGGCAAGACAAGCUCAGAAGCAGGACGCUGUCAUCACAGGUGGGUGAGGACGGCUUCCUGAAAGGAACGGGUCGGGACUUGCAGGGGCACAGCUGGAUCGCGGGCGCCGGCAGACUGGCAUCGGGUGUUUCGUGGCAGUGAAUGAGCCGAAUGAUUCCCCGGACACAGGCAAGCCCCUUUCCUGGGAUGAUGGACAGCGGUCAUGUCUGUGCCUUCCUGGGCCACAUCCUUCCCGCUCUGUGGCUGGGGUGAUGCAGGAGAGGCCGCUAAACCCUGCGCAGGAGGUUUCAGGCCCAGGUGCAUCAGGUGGGAGCAGGGCUGGCUGCAGAAGGGGCUGAGGAAUCCCCCUGGCUGCCUGCUGCAUGGGGGUGAUGAUGUGUUAGGCUGGCUUCCAACGCCAGACUCGCCAGACUCGCCAGACUCGUCUCUUGGCGUGAGGCUCCCGAGAAACCCAGGUGGUGGAGGUGGGUUGGAGGCUUUUUUGAAGUCGGGUUUACUGAGCUAUAAUUUACAUGCAGUAAAAUCUGUCCUCUUCGGGUGGACUCUUCUGUGCGAUUUGAACACCCUCUCGCCCGUUUUUCUCGCUGGUUCUCAGCCAGAGGCGCCCACAUUCCUUGGCUUGUGGCCCCAGGGUUGUCAAAAGCAGCCACAUGGGUUGAGUCCUUGCACUCAGAAUCUCCAGGGCCUCCUCUUCUGCCUCCUUUCAGCCAGAGAAAGGUCUCUGCUUUUCAGGGCUGAAGUGAUUUGAUUGGGCCUCCCGGGUUAUCCAGACACGCUCUGUACCCAUGUCAGUGGCCUGGGGCUGCCGUCUCAGCACCCCAGUCCGGGUGGCUUUAAACAACACAAAUGCAUCCUCCUGCAGUUCUGGGGACCAGAGGUCAAGGUGAAGGCAGGGACGCUGUGGCUCUGAGCCUCUGCGCAGACUCCUUGCUCUGAUCUUGGGUGGUGCCUGUUGACCUGUUGCAUGGUCUGGCUGUGGAAGCACCCUCCAGUCUGCCCGUCAUCACGUGGCAUCCUCGCUGUGUGUGUCUGUGCCCAAAUUUCCACGUUUCAUUUCGCUUUUAUUUUUGGCCGCACCCACGGCCUGUGGAAGCUCCUGGGCCAGGGAUCGAACCUGCACCACAGCCAUGACUCGAGCCCCAGCAGUGACAAUGCCGAGUCCUUGACCGCGAGGCUACCGAGGAACUCCCAGAUUUCUGCUUUUUAUAAGAACACCAGUCGUGUUGCAUUAAAGGCCCGCCCCCUCCGAGGUAACGUCAUCGUAACUACUUUGCCAGACUCCCGUGUCCAGUGAGGUCACAGUCUGAAGUCUUGGCCGUGAGGACGUGGACGUAGCUUUUGGGGGGGGGGACACACUGAACCCUUGAUGUCCCCUUAGUCGCAUCUGCGGAGCCCCUUCCACGCGUGUGGGUGACAUGUCCAUGGGCUCCAGGGCUGGAGCAUGGACAUCUUUGGGGCCUUAUUGGGCACCCCUGGGCACCCAUGCCCGCCUGGCACACAUGGUCUGUGAGCAGCUAACACUCGCGCAAGGACUUGUGGGAGCCUUGAGACCAUGCUGCGCACAUCCUGUUCGUCCUCCAAGGCGGGAGACUUCUGUGGUGUCCAUCUCAGCAGUUAGGGACAGAGCCGUAACGUCAGAGAAAGGGUCGUGAUCGGAGGUGUGUGAUGCGUUGGGCGGCUUAGGUAGCGCUCGUCUCGGGGACCUUGCCCAGGGCGGUGGGAGGAGGGGGGCCCUAAAGUGUCUGAGUCAGAGCAGCGGCAGUCCAGGGCCUGGUGGCCCCGGGACCCUCCCAGCCCCACGUCCCUGCUGCAGGAAAAGGGUCCCCUGCGUAUAUCGCCCCCCCAGCAGAGAGCCCUCCCCAGCCCCUUAGUUAUAAUGGCAGCCCCUCCCCCACCAGGCCUCCAUCUCUCGGCGUUGAAGCGUCGCUGGUUUCCUUCUCUGCUGUGUCCUGCAGCAUAGCAGCCCCACGAGGGCAGAGGUGGUGUCUGUUUUCUUCACUGCUGUACCCACACCAGCUGUCACAGGAGACGCCUAAAAAUACCUGUUGAAUGAACAAAGCUUUCUGCGCUGCUUAAUGGUCCGUGCCUUCCCGCUUGUUGAAAAGGUGACGGUUUUUCUGUUCUAGGAUUUUCUUGGCAUUUUAUUAGCGAGUUGGUAUUAUUUGCGUACUGCUACCCGAAUAUGAGGAAAACCUUAAGGCAAUGUCAUCAUUUUUCCAUAUCCAGGCCAUGGAGGUUAUUGAAGAGGAUGGAAAUACCUCUUUGUAACUCUGGACGUGAAUGAUAGCCAUUUCGAACUGUGGAGCUGAUCAUUCAGUGGUUUUUAAGUGUUAAGAUAGGGGCUCCAUUUCUGAGCAUGGCUUAACUGUUUGGAGGUCAAGUUGAAAAGAUGGACACAAGCUUUAAACAGGUGCUGAGACACCGGCAGUCUCUCAAGGGGAUGCAUCGUUUCCAGGCUGAGAUCUGGAGAGGGUGGAAACUUGACAUCUGGGGUCAUUUUGUCCCUGGGGUGCUGGCCAAUUUAUGGAAGAAGCAGUUAAGAACCUCAGUGCCACUUCCGAGGGGCUGGGAGUCAAAAAUUGGAAUAUAAAGGGAAGGCCGUGAUCAACAGCCCCAACUCUGGAAAUACAGGGGAAAAGCUGCCCCGGGAAAUACACGUGACCUGGAAACCGACCCUCUGCUCAAAGACCGAAGGCCUGUUGUAACUAAUCUCAAUCCCUGAGGUUGGAUUAAGGUGCUCUCAGAUUGCUAGGACCUCCGAUGCCUGGAGGAAACAAAUGAAUAUCCUCUCCGGGGGAACACAGCAACCUCCUCGGCCUCUAUUUCUGUGAAUAAUUUUUCAAAUACAGGUGGGCCUCACUUUGCGCCGUUCCAUUAUGCACAAACUUCACGACCAUGGUUAGUUAACUAACAACACUGGUCUGACCACAGUUAGUUAAAUAACACCAGUCUCCCUCUCCCAGGGCUCAGAUUUCAGUUAUCUGGGAUAAGAGCUGCGUAGCUGCAGAAAGCACAGUCUCUGCGGAGGGCUCCCCAGCCCACAAAUCACUACGCAGAUAACAGACGUGCCUAGGAUCAGUGACCAAUCCUGUCACUCCUUUCAGAGUCAGCCCUGUGAUUGGUCCUUGUGCAUCUGUCAUUCACACACAGACAGCAAAGUGUGUAACCACGUUGGUUCCUCCUCCCCCAGUGAAAAACCCAUGUGACACUUUAUAAAAAUGGGUAAGUAAUGAGGAAUUGGCCAACGAAGAUGAAAGUGCAGCAAAUAAGUGAAAGGUGCUAAUGCUGGGUAUAAAAUCAGAGUUGAACAUGAGUGGAGUUUUUGAAGAAAUAGUUGACCGUGGGAAUGUGGACACUGCUGCCAUUCAAGAGACUCUAGGUUGGCAGCCAGGAGCACUUAGUAAAAGUGACUCAUUGAGGAAGACCGUUGUGAUGAAAAGUUGAAGUUGUCACACAGGAAAUGACCCCAGCAAAAAAAAAAAAAAUUUAAUUAAAAGAACCCUUUCAGGAGUUCCCGUCAUGGCUUGGUGGUUAAUGAACCUGACUAGUACAUAUGAGGACACGGGUUCGAUCCCUGGCCUCGCUCAGUGGGUUAAGGAUCUGGCAUUGCGGUGACCUGUAGGUCACAGAUGCGGCUUGGAUCCUGUGUUGCUGUGGCUGUGGUGUAAGCCGGCAGCUACAGUUCAGAUUGGACCCCUAGCCUGGGAACCUCCAUAUGCUGGGGGUGUGGCCCUAAAAAGGAAAAAAAAAAGAACCCUUUCAGAAAUUGUAUGGCAUUGAAAGUAAGGAUAAAAAUUGGAAGCUGAUCCAAACUUAGUAUGACAAUUUGGUAGGACAUGGAAGUUCGCUCCUGGAGUUCCCAUCGUGGCUCAGCAGUUAACAAACCGAGUGGCAUCCAUGAGGACCCAGGUUCAAUCCCUGGCCUCACUCUGUGGGUUAAGGAUCUGGCGUUGCUGUGAACUGUGGUGUAAGUUACAGAUGUGGCUCAGAUCUGCAUUGCUGUGGCUUUGGCAUAGGCCAGUGGCUACAGCUCCAAUUGGACCCCUAGCCUGGGAACCUCUAUAUAUGUUGCAGGUGGGGCCCUAAAAAGACAAAAAAAAAAAAAAAAAAAAAAAAAAAAGAGGUUCGCUCCAAAUUGUAAGUUAUACAAUUAGCAGAAAGCAAGCAUGGUUCAGUCUACUCUUGAUAAGUUUUUUUAAACAAGGAAAUAAAACACUUUUUAAUUUUCAAUGAUCCUAAUGUUUUAAAUUGCAACCUACUAAAUACAUACUACUUUUACUAUAGUUUUUAUUUCCCUGUGUGUUUACAACUAAUAAAAAGAGGUGUUUUAGGAGUUCCUGCUGUGGCACAGCAGGUUAAGACCCAGUGUUGUCUCUGUGGCAGUGCAAGUUGCAAAUUCAAUUCCUGGCCGAGAGCACUGGGUUAGGAAUUUGGCAUUGCUGCAGCUGUGGUGUGGAUUGCAGCUUCAGCUCAGAUUUGAUCCCUGGCCUGGGAACUAUGGCUGAAAGAAAUGGGGGGGGUUGUUUUAAUAUUUUGACAAAAAAUUUAAAGGUCAUGGAGCAGUUGUGAUUUUUCACCACUGAUUAGUAAAAUCACUUUGCAUAAUCUCUGCUUGUGGGAUGCUUUUUAUCUUCUCACAUUGCUGUGCAAAUCAAGACUGUUUGUACAGUAAUGACACACAACAAAACCAACCAAGCCCAUGAGAGAACUCAUGAACCAGCCGAAAUGAUAAAUGAUAGAAACAGAACUAUGAGACUCUAAAUAUUAGAUUUAAAAGACAAACUUUAAAAUAAAAUUGUUUAUUACACUCACAAAGAUUGGGAAUUUUGGUAGAACACUAGAAAUUGUAUUUUUAAAAAGGACACUGAUUUGAAAAAAAAAGUCAGGAGUUCCUUUUGUGGCACAGCGGCAACAAAUCCAAUUAGGAACCAUGAGGUUUCGGGUUCGAUCCCUGUCCUCACUCAGUGGGUUAGCAAUCUGGCGUUGCCGUGAGCUGUGGUGUAGGUCGCAGAUAUGGCUCAGAUCCCACAUUGCUGUGGCUGUGGUGUAGGCCGGCAGCUAUAGCUCUGAUUGGACCCCUACCUAGCCUGGGGACCUCCAUAUGCCACAGGUGCGGACCUGAAAAGCCAAAAAAAGAAAAAGAAAAAAA
rnacentral:lncRNA from 1 species